ACCGAUUGAAUGAUUGGGUGAAAUGAUUAGAUUGCGGUGACAUGGGCGGUUCAAUUCCCGCAACAUCGUGAGUAGUCCACUGAACCUUAUCAUUUAGAGGAAGGAGCAGUCGUAACAGGGUUUUCGAAGUUGAACCUGCAGAAGGAUCAUUG
rnacentral:ncRNA from 1 species